AUGGAGAGUUUGAUUCUGGCUCAGAACGAACGCUGGCGGCGUGGAUAAGACAUGCAAGUCGAACGAGAGAAUUGCUAGCUUGCUAAUAAUUCUCUAGUGGCGCACGGGUGAGUAACACGUGAGUAACCUGCCCCCGAGAGCGGGAUAGCCCUGGGAAACUGGGAUUAAUACCGCAUAGUAUCGAAAGAUUAAAGCAGCAAUGCGCUUGGGGAUGGGCUCGCGGCCUAUUAGUUAGUUGGUGAGGUAACGGCUCACCAAGGCGAUGACGGGUAGCCGGUCUGAGAGGAUGUCCGGCCACACUGGAACUGAGACACGGUCCAGACACCUACGGGUGGCAGCAGUCGAGAAUCAUUCACAAUGGGGGAAACCCUGAUGGUGCGACGCCGCGUGGGGGAAUGAAGGUCUUCGGAUUGUAAACCCCUGUCAUGUGGGAGCAAAUUAAAAAGAUAGUACCACAAGAGGAAGAGACGGCUAACUCUGUGCCAGCAGCCGCGGUAAUACAGAGGUCUCAAGCGUUGUUCGGAAUCACUGGGCGUAAAGCGUGCGUAGGCUGUUUCGUAAGUCGUGUGUGAAAGGCGCGGGCUCAACCCGCGGACGGCACAUGAUACUGCGAGACUAGAGUAAUGGAGGGGGAACCGGAAUUCUCGGUGUAGCAGUGAAAUGCGUAGAUAUCGAGAGGAACACUCGUGGCGAAGGCGGGUUCCUGGACAUUAACUGACGCUGAGGCACGAAGGCCAGGGGAGCGAAAGGGAUUAGAUACCCCUGUAGUCCUGGCAGUAAACGGUGCACGCUUGGUGUGCGGGGAAUCGACCCCCUGCGUGCCGGAGCUAACGCGUUAAGCGUGCCGCCUGGGGAGUACGGUCGCAAGAUUAAAACUCAAAGAAAUUGACGGGGACCCGCACAAGCGGUGGAGUAUGUGGCUUAAUUCGAUGCAACGCGAAGAACCUUACCUGGGCUUGACAUCCACAGAACUUUCCAGAGAUGGAUUGGUGCCUUCG
rnacentral:rRNA from 1 species